ACCCGACGAGGGUUGGUUGACUCGUCAUUACGGCGAUAGAUGAAUUCUCUUGGAAUAUUAAAGAGGAAUUCGUAACUCUCAAGAGAAAAAUAAAACUCACAGUUUUUAAUAAAAAUAAGGUUCAAAUUUCGUGGGCUACAUAUCAGCCAUAUAUAUAGGCAAAAACUAAACCUAGUCUAACAAGGAAACAACUUAAAACAAACCAUAAUCUAAUAAGGAAACAAAUCCUUAGUCAAAACAAAGUAUAAAACUCAAAACUGAUUCAACUAAGGCCCAAUUUCAGCCACCAUAAUAAAACCCAUGAAAAAAAUAAAAUAAAAACAAAUAAAACACUCGAUUAAAUCAGCCCACAUAUGCAACGUAACUUGGGCCUCCAUGGCAUGCAUCAUUCCCCUCCUCUUGAAAGGGAUUUAUCCUCAAAUCCAAGUCAUGAAUUCAAUUGCCGGGAUAAAAAACUAGAUCUUCGUUUCUUGCAAGAAACGACUGUUGGACCAUAGCUUUGCU
rnacentral:lncRNA from 1 species